AGUUUGGGUUAUUCCUCCAGGGUGGAUUUCCAGAAGUGGGAUUUCUGGAUCAGAGAAGAAGUGAAGAAACCAGUAUUCAUGAAGACAAGGAAGUUCCUGUCAGCUACUGCAGAUGGACCACCCAAAGGUACAUCAAAUUUAUGGAAGAAGUAUUCAUCUUGGAAAAAGGAGAUACAAGAUAAUUUCAACCAAAGACAGAAUGAUGUUUCCAUAUAAUCAAUAAUACCUCCUCUUUGUUAAAGAGCCAGUUGGGCAAUAAAGGAAAC